UCCGUAGGUGAACCUGCGGAAGGAUCAUUAACGCAAUCUAAACCUACUCAACCAAGCCAACUUGUUGCGGAGCGCAAGCGACGCAGCUAAACAACCUAACCAAAAGAAGCUUAACCAAGCCAAAUAACAAAAACAAAUCCUCAACGAUGGAUAUCUAGGUUCCUACGACGAUGAAGAACGCAGCGAAGUGCGAUAAGCAAUGCGAAUUGCAGAGCCGAGAGUCAUCAGAUUUUUGAACGCAACUGGCACCUGAGGGCACUCCCUCAGGUAUGCUUCCUUCAGUGUGUGAAUAUCUCAUCACCCAAACCUUAAUGCGAUAGAUGCCCUUCUAUUGCGAAACACGAAAGCACUCUGUUCUCUGCAGCCGAAGUCUUCGGACCGAGGCACUCAAUGCAGUAGUCACAUUCUCAAGCGUGAACUCAUUGAGCGUAGAGUCAGCGCAUGUUUCAUGCCAGUGCUUGGAUACUCAAAUUUUCUCAGCACCUGAGGUGAAGUAGGACCACCCGCUGAACUUAAGCAUAUCAACA
rnacentral:rRNA from 1 species